GGCCCGCGGGGGAGAGGUGGCGCGUUAGAGAUGUGUGUGGGAGAGAGGGAGCGAGAGAGAGAGAGAGAGAGAGGGGGAGCGAGACCUCCGCUGGCCCCGCGAACUUGUCAAGUACAAAAAACCAAGCUUUUGGGCUCAAAAACCUAGACCAUCAUGGCUACAAAAACUACUGCUGCUCAGAGAGUAUGUAAUUCUGGAGCUCCUUAAGGAAAAAAGUAGUGCGAUGCAACAUCAGGAGAGUGGCCAAGUGGUCUUCUGCACAGCAGCCAUGAACUUCAACCAUGAACUGAAGAAGACUCAUCAAAUGCCUUAGGAAAGACAGGAUGGAGUUGGAAGAGAAGCAGGGAUCUCCAUGAAGGACAGUGAGUUAUAGUCGUGGUCGGCAUGCUUGGUUGGUCUGCCAGUCAACAAAUGUAGCUCAGACCUGGCCACAGUGUGAGCUGCCUCCUGUUCUCCUAAACAGCAGAAGCUGAAAUUUAGAGAAAUCUGUUUAGAAGGGAAUGGGAAAACAGCCAGGCUAGCUUCAGCACAAGUGUGUUGGUGGCACCUGUAAGCAUGCAGGUGUGUGGAGGAACAGGUCCUGUUCUCGCUGUUGUUACUCCCACAUAGGCAGACUCUGUAAUUGAUUAUGUGUGGGUAGGGCCCUAUUGAAAUUCAGGAGAUUCUGCAGUAGUGCGGGGUUCUUUUUGUGAAAGUUCAGUUGCAAGAUCAGGACCCUACUGUGACUCCUUACUGUGCAUUCUGUCACUGUCUCAUUGAUUGUACUGGAACCUGCCUAUUGGGAUAAUUACCAAAUACUAUAUUCCGCAAAACUUCUUAAUGGCACUGAGGCUUUGUGGAUAGUUGGUCACAUGAUGAGAAAAUUCAGCUGUAAUUCACCAUGGGACCCUGAAGUUCUUCCCUACUGCAAUUAGACUGCCGGAGUUCAUGAUUCCUGAGAAGUAACACCUUGAAGUUCUGGCACUAUCUUCUACAAAGUAACUUACACUGAGCUGGCUUCCUGUUACUGUGUCAAUGAAACAUCAAAUGUUGAUACUAUGUGUGAAACAACAUUUGAUAUUAUGGCUAUUAAGCUACUUGAAAAAAUUAUAUACAAAUGGAUUUUAUGUAUACAAGACCUGGCAUUUAAAAAUGUAUGUCAUGGAUGCAGGUAAUAAAUGUUUAUUAAUCGUUACAGGACAGAAAAUACUUAUAUUUAUGUACAAGAUGUUAGUCUUAGCUCUUGCUAUUUUUAUCUCCUAAAUAUCUUAUAAUAAGAUGGUUAUAAAUAUUUAAAGUUAUGAAUCUUUUAAUUUGUUGAAGCACAGUGUGCAUCAUUUAGAAUGGCACUAAAGGAGAGAAGUGGACAUGCCCUUCUCAUAACAGCUAAACAUGAAAAGAAGGUAUCAGAGAUAAUGGUAUCAUUCAAAUUUAUAGAAAUUGUUCUGUUUUGCUGUAUAAGCAUAGCUCUUUACAGAAUGAUGAUCUCAUCCUAAGGUUGCAGUUAUCUAAAUAGAUUCAUUGCUGAACUUUAUUCUAGUGUUUUUAUAUCUUUGCUGGAAGUAAGAGAACACUAACACUUAAAAUUUAAGUUAUUGAUCUUCAGCCAUGCUACAACUUUCAGGACUUGGUAUUUAACCCCAGGAUUGGAUCCAUAGCUCUUUUAAAUUCUGGAAUUCGAGAAACUGUGCAGAUUCUGCAGAUCACAUGGCUGGCAGACGCAGAAAUAAUUUCACAAAUGAAAAUGGAAGAAGUAAAAUCCAUGAAGAUUGUGUUGAAGAUCCUCAGUAAGGAUAAAGCAUGUUACCUGUUCAUGCAAGCAGUGCUAUUAUUCUGCUUACACUCCUUGGUUUUCUGGUCAGGAAGCUAAUUUCAGCAUUGCCAAUGCCCUUUUUUAUUGAAUUCUAAUUCUCUCUAGCACAUGCUCUUCAGGUUUCAGCAUUAAGGCUGUUGGACACAUUGAAGUGCAAUCUACACUCACAGCUCAGUAUUUAAGGCAUAUGCAGAACUUCAGCAUUAAUUACACAUUUUAUACUUGGUCUACUUUGCCUGUAGUGCUGAACUACUGUGAUAGUUUGAUUUUUAUGAUUUGAAGCAUGAAGCUUUCAAAGCCAUGUGUCAAAGGUCAAGUGAGUGGCUCAGCAAUGUGUGACACUACAAAAACUGUUUCCUUCUCGAAAGAUCGCAGACUACUCAUUUUCUCUGGGGUUCAUGGGGGUGACAAGGAUGGACUCCCAAGGCAUGGCUGCAAUGGUUGUUUGAAAUAAGAAACUGAUACCCUUGGUGUCAUUCAUCUCUGAUCACUGGGAAUUGGAGCUUGAAGGAAGGUGGAAGAAAACUCCUGCAGAGAGUAGGAGGAAUAAUUUGUCUUGUAAGGGGGAUAUAAUGGCAUUUUUAAAGCUUUUACCAAAUAUCAGGACAUGUGAUAAGAGUUUAUGGAUUGGGAAUUAAUGAAAGAUUGUGAAAUGGGGAAGAAUUCACAUUAUGGGAAGCGAUGGAGAACUACAACCUAAGCACUCUGAAAUUUGUGACCCAGCCCACAGAAUAUCUUGAGGUGAUAGAACAAUCUCAGAUGACUGUUGUUUAAAAAUAUAAUUUGCAAGCCCCUGCACCCUUCCCCAGACAGACUGGGAAAAUACAUUCCUUUUAUUAAUAUUACUUCAGGGGACUGGAGGGUAAUCUGAGCAGUGAAACAUACAGUUUAUGGGACUUGCUACAGAAUUCAGAUUAAAAAAAAAAAAAAGCAGUGCUUAUUUGUACCUGGGAGUUGGUAUCUGUUUUAAAAAAUGCUGUUCUAAAGAGAUUUUUUUUACAUUUUUAUAUGUAUUAAAUAACACAUCUAUAUGAUGAAACAUGAAAUGCAUAAUUGAAACAAUGACUAUAAGUAUAGAAUUGUGUAAAUACUACAUAAAUAAUAUCUGUAAAUAUUAAAUAAACUCUUUCAUUUCUAGAGGUUACAGAAAACACUUUAGGAUUUUAUACAGUCUUUCCACCUCUUCCCCCACUAGUUUUGAAUGUAAUUGCAAUUUUAGAGCUAAUCCAUAUAUUAACUUUUUAACAUUUGCAGUUGCAUUAAAUUUUACUGAGAAACAAUUUAGUUUGGGGAAACCGUUGAAUCUGUGGUUUGUGUUGUUUGAACAAGAAGUCCCUGAGUAUUUGUCCCAAAUGCCAAUAUUUUUCCUACACUGGCAGCUGUAUAUUUGUGGUCACCUGAUGGUAAUGCAUGCAAAGACCCUGUGCAGCAGCAGUGCCUCUCACUGGGGAUAGCAGGAGGGAAACUGGAAGUAAUCAAAGCACACAGAAUUUGCUCUUCUUGGUGGAGGUCUCAUGUAGGCAGCACUUGAAUGACACUUUAUUUUUCUGGAUCAGGUGAAGGUAAGAGAUAGAAACCAUUUGCUUCUGUUCCCUGGAAUGGGCUGGAAAGAACAGCUCUUCUGAGACACAGCUUUACACUGAACAUGAGCAGAGCAGUGUCAUCAGCAAUUCUGAAAAUGUGUUUACAAUGGUUGGGGAAAAUAUUUAGUCAGCAUUUAAAUAUGUUAGCUCAUACACAAAUUUUAGAUGUCUACUGCACUUAACAUUUCCAAUAACUGGUUUCCUUGAGAUUUUUAGUGAUACAAAUUAAUAACAAAAGUCAGUUAAUACAGAGUGUAGUUAUGAGACCAAAACACAUGUGGUUUAAAUUUAAAGAGUUAAAUGUUAGCAUUUCCCUAUAGAGAAAGGUUAUUUGGGCAGUGGUAUACUGACAUUAUCACCACCCACAGAGAAGGGGACCUCUUGAUCAUAUUGGUUACGCAGAAAUUCAAAAAAGGAAAACUGUAGGUCUAGAGGGUUUGCUUGGUAUAAGUGAAUCACACAGGAAAAAUGCUGAUACCCAGGGUUGUUGUAGUGACUUUCUUUGAUGGUUAGAAAGAGAAAUAAGCACAGGAUAUUUUUGUCAAGUUAGAGGGUUUAGAUUGCUGCUUGCAAGGUAAAAUUUAUCUUAGUUAUUAAUAUAGUGGAAAGUUAAAUGAUGAUCAUGGAAAUAUGAUAAUAAGUGCUGUUGGAAAGCGGACAGAAAUUUUUUUUUGUUUAA